rnacentral:ncRNA from 1 species
UGGUCUGGGCGAAAGUUCUUUGGACCACAGUAGGCGGGAAGAAUUCCC